AGUGAACGCUGGCGGUAGGCCUAACACAUGCAAGUCGAACGGCAGCACAGUAAGAGCUUGCUCUUACGGGUGGCGAGUGGCGGACGGGUGAGGAAUACAUCGGAAUCUACUUUUUCGUGGGGGAUAACGUAGGGAAACUUACGCUAAUACCGCAUACGACCUACGGGUGAAAGCAGGGGAUCUUCGGACCCUGCGCGAUUGAAUGAGCCGAUGUCGGAUUAGCUAGUUGGCGGGGUAAAGGCCCACCAAGGCGACGAUCCGUAGCUGGUCUGAGAGGAUGAUCAGCCACACUGGAACUGAGACGCGGUCCAGACUCCUACGGGAGGCAGCAGUGGGGAAUAUUGGACAAUGGGCGCAAGCCUGAUCCAGCCAUACCGCGUGGGUGAAGAAGGCCUUCGGGUUGUAAAGCCCUUUUGUUGGGAAAGAAAAGCAGCAGGUUAAUACCCCGCUGUUCUGACGGUACCCAAAGAAUAAGCACCGGCUAACUUCGUG
rnacentral:rRNA from 1 species